AUUGAACGCUGGUGGCAGGCUUAACACAUGCAAGUCGAGCGGGGUGAUGGUGCUUGCACUAUCACUUAGCGGCGGACGGGUGAGUAAUGCUUAGGAAUCUGCCUAUUAGUGGGGGACAACAUCUCGAAAGGGAUGCUAAUACCGCAUACGUCCUACGGGAGAAAGCAGGGGAUCACUUGUGACCUUGCGCUAAUAGAUGAGCCUAAGUCGGAUUAGCUAGUUGGUGGGGUAAAGGCCUACCAAGGCGACGCUCUGUAGCGGGUCUGAGAGGAUGAUCCGCCACACUGGGACUGAGACACGGCCCAGACUCCUACGGGAGGCAGCAGUGGGGAAUAUUGGACAAUGGGGGGAACCCUGAUCCAGCCAUGCCGCGUGUGUGAAGAAGGCCUUAUGGUUGUAAAGCACUUUAAGCGAGGAGGAGGCUCUUUUGGUUAAUACCCAAGAUGAGUGGACGUUACUCGCAGAAUAAGCACCGGCUAACUCUGUGCCAGCCGCCGCAGUAA
rnacentral:rRNA from 1 species